CUUGCUUCUCUUGAGAGCGGCGGACGGGUGAGUAAUGCCUAGGAAUCUGCCUGGUAGUGAGGGAUAACGUUCGGAAACGGACGCUAAUACCGCAUACGUCCUACGGGAGAAAGCAGGGGACCUUCGGGCCUUGCGCUAUCAGAUGAGCCUAGGUCGGAUUAGCUAGUUGGUGGGGUAAUGGCUCACCAAGGCGACGAUCCGUAACUGGUCUGAGAGGAUGAUCAGUCACACUGGAACUGAGACACGGUCCAGACUCCUACGGGAGGCAGCAGUGGGGAAUAUUGGACAAUGGGCGAAAGCCUGAUCCAGCCAUGCCGCGUGUGUGAAGAAGGUCUUCGGAUUGUAAAGCACUUUAAGUUGGGAGGAAGGGUUGUAGAUUAAUACUCUGCAAUUUUGACGUUACCGACAGAAUAAGCACCGGCUAACUCUGUGCCAGCAGCCGCGGUAAUACAGAGGGUGCAAGCGUUAAUCGGAAUUACUGGGCGUAAAGCGCGCGUAGGUGGUUUGUUAAGUUGGAUGUGAAAUCCCCGGGCUCAACCUGGGAACUGCAUUCAAAACUGACUGACUAGAGUAUGGUAGAGGGUGGUGGAAUUUCCUGUGUAGCGGUGAAAUGCGUA
rnacentral:rRNA from 1 species